UGGAAGUGAUGAAAUAGAGGUCCUUGGUGAGGGGUAGGGUAUGUGUAUGAGAGAGAGGAUGACAAAUUGUACUCUAAUUAGGUGUGUGUGUGUGCGUGUAUAUUACUAGGGCCAUUUAAUGGUGCAAAUUGUGGGCACUGACAUACGAAACUGCUGAUUUCGGAGUGCAUCUGAGGCAUGUUGCUAAAUCAUAGGGUCUUUGCUGCAACAUCACCAAUGAUUAGAGCCCGAAAUAAGCUCAUAAUUUGCACCUAAACACCUUAAACCUCUAACAGGUUCAUUUUGUCAUACAAAGGAACUUGUGGUCUGAUCCGA